rnacentral:rRNA from 1 species
GACGAACGCUGGCGGCGUGCUUAACACAUGCAAGUCGAACGGUGAAGCGCCUUCCUUUUUGGUGGGUGUGGAUGAGUGGCGAACGGGUGAGUAACACGUGAGUAACCUGCCCCCUUCUUCUGGAUAACCGCAUGAAAGUGUGGCUAAUACGGGAUAUUCUGGGUCUGUCGCAUGAUGGGUCUGGGAAAGAUAUUGUUUCGGUGGGGGAUGGGCUCGCGGCCUAUCAGCUUGUUGGUGGGGUGAUGGCCUACCAAGGCGGUGACGGGUAGCCGGCCUGAGAGGGUGGACGGUCACACUGGGACUGAGACACGGCCGAGACUCCUACGGGAGGCAGCAGUGGGGAAUAUUGCACAGUGGGCGCAAGCCUGAUGCAGCGACGCCGCGUGAGGGAUGGAGGCCUUCGGGUUGUGAACCUCUUUCGCCAGUGAAGCAGGCCUGCCUCGUUUGUGGGUGGGUUGACGGUAGCUGGAUAAGAAGCGCCGGCUAACUACGUG